UUCCUAGCUACGUUAUAGAUUUAACAGCAAAUCGAAAUUGUUGGUCACAAGUUGUUGUUUCCUUGUGCAUUUAGAAAGUAUCGAUGUGCAACGGAAAAACCAUUGAUUCACUUUACAAAACAAAGAUAGGGGAUGUGAAGCUGAUGAACUGGUUGUUACUUCAAUUUGAACAGCAAAUUCAUGAAGAGCAGGUCUAUCAAACUUAAACAAAUGAAGUUUUAUUCUGUUGCAUUGAAUCUUUGGAGCGGGAUCCAGCCCUACGUCCACGGAUUUUGUGACCAGGAUCAAUCUAAUUAUAUAAGUUUCUCAAAAUGCUACAGAUUUCAGCACUGGCCGUUGCCAUCAGAGAGUAUCCUAGCUUUUCUUAGUUAGGCUGAAAUCGACUAUGAUAAAUACUUCUAAGUCAGCUACUUUCUGCAUUCAUUUGCCAUGUAUGAAUACAGUUAACAUUUUAGCAUCAUUUUAUCUCAUUGUUAUAUAUGUUGAUUUUUUUCCAAGAGGUGAAGAUCAAUCAUGAAGGGUAGCAUGGUGUACCUUAUUACUCUUCUGCUUGUCGGGUGCAUUGCUGCGGCCGGAGAGUGUCGUCCUGAGGCCAGAGGAAGCUACCGACAUGGUCAUGCCAUGACAAGCACUGCUAAUGUUAACUCAUCAUUGGGAGAGAGCGAGAUUUCCCUAAGAAUGUGUGGUGAGUUGGACUGUAAGACCAAAGGUCAUAACUGGAACGAAAAUUGUUACUGCUGCUUCACGAAGCCGGACGUUCCAUGUUGGCACACCAUGGCAGAGUGCCACGCGAACUGCCCACCAUGCAACCCCAAGUGCGGGUCUAAAACAGCGACGGAACUACAUGUGUGAAGAAAGGGAAUAAGAAUGUGUGCUAAAUUCUUCGGUCUGUGUUUUAAUUUUAUCAGCGAACUUCCUUUUGAUGUGUAUUUUGUUUUAUUUGAUCUGGUAUACUCUAAUUAGUUUAUCAACCUCUUUAUGAUUGGGUGAAUCUGAACCCUGUAACUUUGUUC